rnacentral:rRNA from 1 species
CGGUUGAUCCUGCCGGACCUGACUGCUAUCGGAUUGAUACUAAGCCAUGCGAGUCUUUGUAGUAAUACAAGGCAGACGGCUCAGUAACGCGUAGUCAACCUACCCUAUGGACGGGAAUAAUCUCGGGAAACUGAGGAUAAUACCCGGCGUACCACCAUUCCUGGAAUGGUUGGUGGUUAAAAUGAUUCGUCGCCGUAGGAUGGGACUGCGACCUAUCAGCUUGUUGGUGAGGUAAAGGCCCACCAAGGCGAUUACAGGUACGGGCUCUGAGAGGAGAAGCCCGGAGAUGGGUACUGAGACACGGACCCAGGCCCUAUGGGGCGCAGCAGGCGAGAAAACUUUGCAAUGUGCGAAAGCACGACAAGGUUAAUCCGAGUGAUUUCUGCUAAAGAAAUCUUUUGCAAGUCAUAAAACCACUAGUGAAUAAGGGGUGGGCAAGUUCUGGUGUCAGCCGCCGCGGUAAAACCAGCACCUCAAGUGGUCAGGAGGAUUAUUGGGCCUAAAGCAUCCGUAGCCGGCUCUGUAAGUUUUCGGUUAAAUCCAUGUGCUCAACGCAUGGGCUGCCGAAAAUACUGCAUAGCUAGGGAGUGGGAGAGGUAGACGGUACUCGGUAGGAAGGGGUAAAAUCCUUUGAUCUAUCGAUGACCACCUGUGGCGAAGGCGGUCUACCAGAACACGUUCGACGGUGAGGGAUGAAAGCUGGGGGAGCAAACCGGAUUAGAUACCCGGGUAGUCCCAGCUGUAAACGAUGCAGACUCGAUGAUGCAUUGGCAUAUAGCCAGUGCAGUGUCGCAGGGAAGCCGUUAAGUCUGCCGCCUGGGAAGUACGUACGCAAGUAUGAAACUUAAAGGAAUUGGCGGGGGAGCACCACAAGGGGUGAAGCCUGCGGUUCAAUUGGAUUCAACGCCGGA